GCUGCGAACGACGUCACUGGGAAGCCUGGCUCCGAGAAGCUGAGGGCUCUCCCUGGAGGAGAAAAUGCUUUCGGGCCGGGUGGUGGGAACUUGGUGUGAGAGGUUGAGCCAUUCCUCUCACACUUGCGGCCGCCUCCUCACCCUGCUCGCUUCGCCACGCCUCGAAGGGUCCGGCGCGCUUCCGUUGGAUUGGACGCCGGAACGUCGACUUCCCAGCAGCCCCCGCGCCGUCUCCGUGGCGACGAUGUUAAACAACCACGCCCUCCGAGGCAGCGAGCUCUAGGCUGACGGAGGCUUGGCCGGGCGCCGCAGGCUGGGGACCUGUAAAGUUGCUUUUAGACACGAUUUGUGGAGUUCCCAUAUAUCUGGCAUCAAUCAACACUUCCCGUUUGACUUUUCAAACAUCAGCUCGGAUGCCCAACUGUUGUUUCUGUGAAUGAACAAGCCAGUUUUAUCUUGUUUGGAGCAAUGCUGAAAUUCCAAGAGACUGCGAAGUGUGUGGGCAGAAGACCCACAGUCAUCCCCAUGUACCCGACCGCUUUGAUUGCAAGAAGAUAUGUUCUUCAGCAGAAACUUGGCAGUGGAAGUUUUGGAACUGUCUAUCUGGUGUCAGACAAGAAAGCCAAACCUGGAGAGGAGCUAAAGGUACUGAAGGAAAUCUCUGUUGGCGAAUUAAAUCCAAAUGAGACCGUGCAGGCCAAUGUGGAAGCUCAGCUCCUCUCCAGGCUCCAUCAUCCUGCCAUUGUCAGAUUCCAUGCAAGCUUCAUGGAGCAGGAGACUUUUUGCAUUAUCACGGAAUACUGUGAGGGCCGAGAUCUGGACUAUAGAAUCCAGGAAUAUAAAGAAGCUGGGAAAGUCUUCGCUGAAAAUCAGAUAGUAGAAUGGUUUAUCCAGCUGUUGCUUGGAGUUGACUACAUGCAUGAGAGGAGAAUACUUCAUCGAGACUUGAAAUCAAAGAAUAUAUUUCUGAAAAAUAAUCUACUCAAAAUCGGGGAUUUUGGAGUUUCUCGGCUGCUAAUGGGUUCAUGUGAGCUGGCUACAACUCUAACCGGGACCCCCCAUUAUAUGAGUCCCGAGGCCCUGAAGCACCAAGGCUAUGAUGCCAAGUCUGACAUCUGGUCACUGGCAUGCAUUUUAUAUGAGAUGUGUUGCCUGGAUCAUGCAUUUGCUGGCUCCAGUUUCUUGUCUGUGGUUUUGAAUAUUGUUGAAGGUAAAACACCUUCACUCCCGGACAGAUAUCCACGAGAACUAAACACCAUCAUGGAACGCAUGUUGAACAAGAGUCCUUCAUUGAGACCGUCGGCUGCAGACAUUUUAAAAGCCCCUUACAUGGAAGAGCAGCUUCAGCUCCUGAUGUGUAAAUACCCAGAGAUGACACUGGAAGACAAGAACUCAGUUUGUCAGAAGGAGGCUGCUCAUACGAUUAAUGCCGUGCAGAAAAAGCUUCACCUGCAGACUCUGCAAGCCUUGUCUGACACGCAGAAAACGACUCCCAGAGAACGGAUGUGGCUGAGGAAGCUGCAGGCAGCCGAUGAGAGAGCCAGGAGGCUGAAAAAGAUUGCUGAAGAAAACUAUAAAGAAAAUGACAAAAGGAUGCAGGCCCUGAGAUCCCGGAAUGUGGGGUCCGUGCAUGCCCAUGUGCUCCAUGAACUAGAUGAACGGACUUUGGAGAGCCUGCCUGAGCCUCAGUCCCUUCCGUGCCUGGACCUCGAUGAACUUGAGCCCAGUUUAGAGGACACCAUUGUUGACCUCGGACAUUAUGAGAUCCCAGAAGACCCACUUGUUGCUGAACAAUAUUAUUCCGAUGUCUUUGAUUCCUGUUCUGAAGACAGCGAGGAGCAGGAGGAAGAAAUGAUAUUCUCAGAAGCAGGAGGAGACACGAAAGAGGAGGAAUCCCCAUCUGUGUACAGAACAAACCAACAGACACAAAGACUAUUACCAAUGCAGUGACAGACAUGUCUCCUGGACCAAUGGUUUUCAACAGUGCAGUGGCUCGGACCAAGAUGAAGCGCAUGAAGGAAUCAGCUGUACAGAAGCUAGGAAUGGAAACGUUUGAGGAGGUCUACGAUUACCUCAAGAGAGCAAGGCACCAGAAUGCCAGAGAAGCAGAGAUCUGGGAGCAUCUGGAGACGGUGGUUCCUCGGGCCAGUGACUGCUUUGAAGUUGACCAGCUCCUCUAUUUUGAGGAGUUGCUGCUGACCAUGGAAGGAAAAGAGCCCUCUCUCCAGAACCUGCCCUGUGAAGCUGCCCAGAAGAAGCCGGUCAAGGGCACUCAUUUCUGUGACAAUCCAUGAUGUUUACCCUCUGGACAUAACUGGAACCACUACCGUUCCCUUUGGCUCCUGGUCAGAUGUAAGGAUGUCUAUGGAAAGGAAAGCACUCAGCUGCCUGCCGGGGCAUGGAGUCACAGGUCAAGGUCAUAGAUGAAGUCUGGCAUCCUGAAAGCUUUCCCUCAGACGUACAGCCCUCGGGGUUUCCAGUAUGCUGGGAGCACUCUGAAGACACAGGCACUCAGUACUGCGUCCAUCCAGGGCAAGCCCAGUGCCUGACCAGUGUGAGCUCCAGGGACUAUGGCUAGCUGGCUUGUGACAGCUUGGACACCAGCCUGGACAAUGGCCUGUUCAUCUCCAAUGAUGUAUUUUUGAUCAACACUUUUUUCUUCCUGUGACCACAUACAAGCAAUACAUAAAUCUAAGGGCCUGGAUUGAAAAUCCCCAAAGUGUUUCCCUCCUGUGAUCUAUUCCCAACACUCACUCAUGGAGCAUUAAAGCCUUGAUUCAGAGUAAAUACUGAUUUCAUCGUUAUAUGACAAAUCUCCUAUUUUAUCUUUUUCUUAGCUAACAGUGUUUCUCAACCUGUGGGUCAUGACCCCUUUGGGGCUGCCUAUUGGAUAUCCUGCAUAUCAGAUAUUUACAUUACAGUUCAUAACAGUAGCAAAAUUACAGUUAUGAGGUAGAAGUAAAAUGACUUUAUGGUUAAAGGUCACCACAACAUGAGGAACUGUGUUAAAGGGUCACAGCAUAGGAAGGUUGAGAGUCACUGUUAUAUAAUCAUGUAUGCUUUGUUUUGUUUGCUGUUUGUUACAACUGAAACAUAAAAAGUUACACAUAAA